rnacentral:rRNA from 1 species
GACGAACGCUGGCGGCGUGCUUAACACAUGCAAGUCGAACGGAAAGGCCCCUUUGGGGGUCCUCGAGUGGCGAACGGGUGAGUAACACGUGAGUAACCUGCCCUUGACUUCGGGAUAACUUCAGGAAACUGGGGCUAAUACCGGAUAGGAAUCCUUGCUGCAUGGUGGGGGUUGGAAAGCUUCGGCGGUUUUGGAUGGACUCGCGGCUUAUCAGCUUGUUGGUGGGGUAGUGGCUUACCAAGGCUUUGACGGGUAGCCGGCCUGAGAGGGCGACCGGCCACCUUGGGACCGAGAGAAGGCCCAGAUACCGAAGGGAGGGAGAUGUGGGGAAGAUUGACCAAUGAGCGGAAGGCGGAUGAAGAAGGGCCGCGGGCGGGAGGACGGUCUUAGGGUUGAAAAACGAUUUCAGAAGGGGCGAAGCUUGUGGUGACGGUACCUGAAGAAGAAGCACCGGCUAACUACGUG